rnacentral:misc_RNA from 1 species
AAAAAAAAGCAUUAAAUUAUAUAAAUAAUAAUUUACAUCAAAUGAAAUUACCAUUUAAAAUACUUUUUUUCCCAAAAAUGGCACACCAAUGUAUAUUAAGAAAAGAAAUUGAAUGGUAUGUGCUUUAAAAGGAUGCGUAUUGGUUGUUUAAUAGACAGGCAGGCGAUUGAGGUAUGAUUCGUUAUGCAAAGUCUUCCUGCAGCCAAACGGCAGAAGCGUCUUGUUGUUGGUUUUCCUUCUCUUCCAUAUUCUUUAAUUUCCACGGCAUUAGGAAGGCAAUUUAGGUUGCAGCUAAUAGAGGCAGCACCGAGGAGACGCACACCAAGAAGA